UAAUAAGAAGCAAAAUUUGCAUUUAGUUUCGACCUAAAUAUUGACUUAUAAGUCCUUAUUUU
rnacentral:tRNA from 1 species